rnacentral:lncRNA from 1 species
UAUCGUGCUCCUACGCUGGCCCCUCCUCGGCAUGUUCCUGGAAACCUACGGAUUCUUCAGCCUCUUUAAGGGCUUUUUCCCUGUCGCCUUCGGCUUCCUGGGCAAUGUCUGCAACAUCCCCUUCCUGGGUGCGGUAAGCAGAUGAUGCCUGCAGCCCUGCGGGCGUACCCUGGGGAGUGAGGGGGAGCACACGGAGGGGAGCUGGUAAAACUGCUGCCCCAGGGGCAGUGGCCUCUCCCCUGUCUCCCCUCAGACCCCCUAGCCCAGGUUUGGUGCUUUAGGCUCCUCUUCCCCCCGCACCUUCUCCAUUUGACAAGAGCCCAUGAGGAGAGGGGAUCCAGACGCAGUUGUAGCUGAGUGUGGCUGUAGAGGCAGGUAGCUAUGAA